rnacentral:rRNA from 1 species
CCUACGGGAGGCAGCAGUCGAGAAUCAUUCACAAUGGGGGAAACCCUGAUGGUGCGACGCCGCGUGGGGGAAUGAAGGUCUUCGGAUUGUAAACCCCUGUCAUGUGGGAGCAAAUUAAAAAGAUCGUACCACAAGAGGCAGAGACGGCUAACUCUGUGCCAGCAGCCGCGGUAAUACAGAGGUCUCAAGCGUUGUUCGGAAUCACUGGGCGUAAGGCGUGCGUAGGCUGUUUCGUAAGUCGUGUGUGAAAGGCGCGGGCUCAACCCGCGGACGGCACAUGAUACUGCGAGACUAGAGUAAUGGAGGGGGAACCGGAAUUCUCGGUGUAGCAGUGAAAUGCGUAGAUAUCGAGAGGAACACUCGUGGCGAAGGCGGGUUCCUGGACAUUAACUGACGCUGAGGCACGAAGGCCAGGGGAGCGAAAGGGAUUAGAUACCCCUGUAGUC